GUCAGCAGCCGCGGUAACACCGGCGGCCCGAGUGGUGAUCGUGAUUAUUGGGUCUAAAGGGUCCGUAGCCGGUUUGGUCAGUCCUCCGGGAAAUCUGAUAGCUCAACUAUUAGGGCUUUCGGGGGAUACUGCCAGACUUGGAACCGGGAGAGGUAAGAGGUACUACAGGGGUAGGAGUGAAAUCUUGUAAUCCCUGGUGGGACCACCUGUGGCGAAGGCGUCUUACCAGAACGGGUUCGACGGUGAGGGACGAAAGCUGGGGGCACGAACCGGAUUAGAUACCCGGGUAGUCCCAGCCGUAAACGAUGCUCGCUAGGUGUCAGGCAUGGCGCGACCGUGUCUGGUGCCGCAGGGAAGCCGUGAAGCGAGCCACCUGGGAAGUACGGCCGCAAGGCUGAAACUUAAAGGAAUUGGCGGGGGAGCACAACAACGGGUGGAGCCCUGCGGUUUAAUUGGACUCAACGCCGGACAACUCACCGGGGGCGACAGCAAUAUGUAGGCCAAGCUGAAGACUUUGCCUGAACUCGCUGAGUGGUGGUGCAUGG
rnacentral:rRNA from 1 species